rnacentral:rRNA from 1 species
GCAAGAGCUCAAAUUUGAAAUCUGGCCCCUCCGGGGUCCGAGUUGUAAUUUGCAGAGGAUGCUUCGGGUGCGGCCCCUGUCUAAGUGCCCUGGAACGGGCCGUCAGAGAGGGUGAGAAUCCCGUCUUGGGCAGGGUGCCCGUGCCCGUGUGAAGCUCCUUCGACGAGUCGAGUUGUUUGGGAAUGCAGCUCAAAAUGGGUGGUAAAUUUCAUCUAAAGCUAAAUACCGGCCGGAGACCGAUAGCGCACAAGUAGAGUGAUCGAAAGAUGAAAAGCACUUUGAAAAGAGAGUUAAACAGCACGUGAAAUUGUUGAAAGGGAAGCGCUUGCAACCAGACUCGGCCUCGGGGUUCAGCCAGCAUUCGUGCUGGUGUACUUCCCCGGGGCCGGGCCAGCGUCGGUUUGGGCGGCCGGUCAAAGGCCCCAGGAAUGUAUCGUCCUCCGGGACGUCUUAUAGCCUGGGGUGCAAUGCGGCCAGCCUGGACCGAGGAACGCGCUUCGGCACGGACGCUGGCGUAAUGGUCGCAAACGACCCGUCUUG